CUCAAAAUGACGAUGAAAAAUAAUAAAAUUUUAUAUCAUUUCUUCUUCUUCUUCUGAACUGGAAAGGCGUGGUUAUUACUUAUGCUAUGCGAUAGCCCUGAUUUAGCAUCACUACUUAUAAAAAAGUUGAUCUCUAAUGAAUUAGAAUGGAGAAAUUAAUGUACAUAUGAGUAGACACUUGCAAAUACUCUGGAUAUGUAUAGGAAGUGCAAGUAUAUAGCAAACCAGGCUAUAUAUUCUUCCCCACUUUACUUAAAAAGUUGUAUAAGACAACAUUUUUCAGGCAUUCAAAAAUAUAAAGGGGAAAAGUUUUUUAAGUGAUAAUCAUGACAAGAAAAAUAAUAUGGCAUGCACGUUGGAAGAAAAUGACUCAAAACACAAAUGUUGCCAAACCCAUAAAAUGAUUAGUUCUUAGCAGGAUUCCUUAUUGUGAG
rnacentral:misc_RNA from 1 species